rnacentral:lncRNA from 1 species
CUCAUAGUGUGAUAGAUCUAUCUUAAGUAGAAAAUGUACUCUAUUUAAAAGGGAGAUAAUGUUGUGUGUGUCCUAUUAAAACUUGUAAAAUGUCACACUAAAUGCUAACACUUCAAAUGUGGGGUUGUUUCUAGCCCAUAUUUGAUUUCACCCAUCCAUGUGAAUCCGGCUACCAUUACUGUUUUUUCUCUUCUCCUUGAUCCACUAAUUUUAAUUAUGUAGCAUCAAAGAAAAAAGGUCUGCAUAUGUCUCUAAGAUAUUUUAUUUAAAAAUUUAGUUUUCAAGGACUAGUAUAAAUGUCUGUACUUAACUUUACCAACAGUGGAUUACUUCCAGAUGCAUCCUUCAAUAGCAUCAUGUAAACAUAAACUUCCUUCUCAUAGUCAUUACAGCUAGCAUUUAUUGGACAUUUACUAUGGCAAACAUUGAGCAAAUAUAGUACAUGAAAUAUCUUGUUAAACUGUCACCAAAAACAAAUGAGCUAGAUAUUGUUAUUAUCUUCUUUUUAUGAGGAACAGAGGCACAGAGGUUUAUAUUUGAAACCCAAGUCAUCUGGAUCCAGAGUCUGUGUUCUUGACUACAUUAUGUCCAUCCAUUUAGCAUAAUGCUGUAUAUAAAAAGGGCUCUUGCUAGAAGCACAGUGAAGUGAAAUUGAAAUUCAAGGUUAGUGAAGGACCCUUUUAUUUUGGUAAGUCAGUUCUUCAUAGGAAAACAAGAAAAAAAAAACCACCUUAGUUUGUGAUUUUAAUCACAGACGUCAGUCAUUUCUCCAAGGCAGACUAGGAUUUGCGCAGAUAAUAUUUACUGAAUAUCUACCGGGUAGAAAUUAUACAGUAUUGGGGAAUAUUUAAUUCUCAUGAUUACCAGAGGGAAGAGGCCCAGGAAUUUCAGAACUUUCCUAAGUUUGCAUGCAAAAAUUUGACUUUAAUAUAUAUGUGUACUUUUCUGAAUAGGAUGCUAAGAGCUGUCGUCAGAGUUUCCAAGAAUUAAUGGCAUUGCCCAUAGGAUUCACAACCACUGUCCUGGGGGAUGUGGGCCCAAGAAGACUGGGUUUGGACCUGGCCAUUCGGCUCCAGAGCCCCUUUGGACAAAUGAGGAUUCCAGAGACUUGAGUCCAGCCAACUUUCUCUUUCCACUCAGAAGACUCAUCUAGUAGUGCUCUUUCAACUUUUAAGUAUGAGAAAAAUGAAGGAACUGGAGACGUUUGUUUCUACUCAGUAGCUGUAAUAAGAAAUCUGCAUAUUGGACUUGCAUCUUGAGAGGUUUCAGUGAAAAGCCUUUAACUGAUGGUAAUUUGUGAGUUGGAAAAAAAAACUUUGCUCAUCUGACAAGAACAUUUGGUGAGUAAUCAGAUACAUUCUACAUAAAGACAGAUUGCUGGACUUGAAAUUAAUAUUUUAUUGCAAUUUUAUGUAAUGAAUAUGUUAUUUUAUGACCUGUCAACUGUUUAGCCAUAAUUACAAUUCCUACGUACAGAACAUUCAUUUUGUCCUUCCAAAAGAGCAUCAAUUAUAUUUCUUUUAGACAAACUUCACAAGAACUCUAAUAAGUGGAACUACUUCCUGUUUGCCUUUAUAAUAUUCCCCUAAAAGUCAGCCCUCCUGGUAGUAAAAUAGUUUAUAAUUAGAAAUUCAGAUCAGCCAUUAUACAUUGUUUCCACUUUCAUUAUUUUUGAAAUUCAUGCAACUAAGUGCGAUCAGGCAAAAAACAAUUAGAGAUGUGCUAAAAUACUUACAAAACAUUUAGCUAUCAGAUAUUUUCCCAAGCUGUUUGGUCUCAUGUUUGAAUAGUAUUUUGAAACAGUCUGUAAUGAGAAAAAUUCUAUAUUAAAAGCGCAUACAUUUUGGGGCACCAGAGUGACUCAGCCAGUUAAACGUCUGGCUCUCGAUUUCAGUUCAGGUCAUGAUCUCACAGUUUGUGAGUUCAAACCCCCCAUGGGGCUCUGCGCUGACAGAUUCUCUCUCCCUCUCUCUUUGCCCCUCCCCUGCUCACACACUCUAUCUCAAAACAAAUAAGUGAACUUUAAAAAAAAAGCACACACAUGUUUAUAAACAUACAUACAUGUUGUAAAUAACAGUUAAAUAAAUAACAGAUGUGAACAUAAAGGUGCCUUGGU